rnacentral:rRNA from 1 species
UACGUAGGGUGCGAGCGUUGUCCGGAAUUACUGGGCGUAAAGAGCUCGUAGGUGGUUUGUCGCGUUGUUCGUGAAAACUCACAACUCAAUUGUGGGCGUGCGGGCGAUACGGGCAGACUGGAGUACUGCAGGGGAGACUGGAAUUCCUGGUGUAGCGGUGGAAUGCGCAGAUAUCAGGAGGAACACCGGUGGCGAAGGCGGUUCUCUGGGCCGGUACUGACGCUGAGGAGCGAAAGCGUGGGGAGCGAACAGG